UACGGGGGGGCAAGCGUUGUUCGGAAUUACUGGGCGUAAAGGGCUCGUAGGCGGCCAACUAAGUCAGACGUGAAAUCCCUCAGCUCAACUGGGGAACUGCGUCUGAUACUAGAUGGCUCGAGUGCAGGAGAGGAACGCGGAAUUCCAGGUGUAGCGGUGAAAUGCGUAGAUAUCUGGAGGAACACCGGUGGCGAAGGCGGCGUCUGGACUGCAACUGACCACUGAGGAACGAAAGCCAGGGAGCAAACGG
rnacentral:rRNA from 1 species